AUGCCCACUUUGUAGGCAAAUAUUCUAAAACUAGAAUGAUGCAGAGGACAGUGGCAUGGCCCUUGUACAAGGAUGAUACCCAAAUUAGUGAAUCAUAUUUUCUAAAU